rnacentral:rRNA from 1 species
UACGUAGGGGGCAAGCGUUGUCCGGAAUCAUUGGGCGUAAAGAGCGCGUAGGCGGUCCGGUAAGUCCGCUCUGAAAGCCCGGGGCUCAACCCCGGGAGGCGGGCGGAUACUGUCGGGCUAGAGUCCGGAAGAGGCGAGUGGAAUUCCCGGUGUAGUGGUGAAAUGCGUAGAUAUCGGGAGGAACACCAGUGGCGAAGGCGACUUCCUGGCCUGUUCUUGACGCUGAGGCGCGAAAGCUAGGGUAGCAAACGGG